ACACUUAAGUUUUUUAUUUUCUUAAUUUUAGAAAACAGAAAAUUGUUCUAGAAACAGUAAACAAACACACCCUUAAUCUUAACCUUUCCAAAUCUUUCUUAAAUUUUUCUUACUUAUUCUCACUGUUACCAUAUUCUCUGGUAUCUGUAUCUAUUUUUCUCUAGUUGCUUGUUCUUCACGUGCCUCGGGCCUUCAUUGAUUUUCUUUCUCAAGCUUUCAUUUCUUUUUGCUUUGAGUUUUUUACCUGCCCUCUAUCAUGUAUUGAAGCUUACAAGUGGCUUUUCAUUUGUGAAGAGUGUUAUUUAUAU
rnacentral:lncRNA from 1 species